rnacentral:rRNA from 1 species
GUUAUAUGGUCAAGCGACUAAGCGCACACGGUGGAUGCCUAGGCAGUUGGAGGCGAUGAAGGACGUAGGAGCCUGCGAAAAGGUUAGGGGAGCUGGCAAACACGCUUUGAUCCUAACAUGUCCGAAUGGGGAAACCCACCUAUCAUAAGAUAGGUAUCUUGCAGUGAAUACAUAGCUGCCUGAAGCGAACCCGGGGAACUGAAACAUCUAAGUACCCGGAGGAAAAGAAAUCAACCGAGAUUCCCUUAGUAGCGGCGAGCGAAAGGGGACCAGCCCUUAAGCUUAAUUGGUUUUAGUGGAACGCUCUGGAAAGUGCGGCGAUACAGGGUGAUAGCCCCGUACACGAAAAGGCCUUUUAAGUGAAAUCGAGUAGGACGGGACACGUGAUAUCCUGUUUGAAUAUGGGGGGACCAUCCUCCAAGGCUAAAUACUCCCAACUGACCGAUAGUGAACCAGUACCGUGAGGGAAAGGCGAAAAGAACCCCUGUGAGGGGAGUGAAAUAGAUCCUGAAACCGUGUGCGUACAAGCAGUAGGAGCAGACUUGUUCUGUGACUGCGUACCUUUUGUAUAAUGGGUCAGCGACUUAUUGUCAGUGGCAAGGUUAACCGUAUAGGGGAGCCGUAGCGAAAGCGAGUCUUAAUAGGGCGUUCAGUCGCUGGCAAUAGACCCGAAACCCGGCGAUCUAUCCAUGGGCAGGUUGAAGGUUGGGUAACACUAACUGGAGGACCGAACCCACUAAUGUUGAAAAAUUAGGGGAUGACUUGUGGAUCGGAGUGAAAGGCUAAUCAAGCCGGGAGAUAGCUGGUUCUCCCCGAAAACUAUUUAGGUAGUGCGUCAUGUCUCACCCGCGGGGGUAGAGCACUGUUUGGGCUAGGGGGUCAUCCCGACUUACCAACCCCAUGCAAACUACGAAUACCGCGGAGUGCAAUCAUGGCAGACAGACAGCGGGUGCUAACGUCCGUUGUCAAGAGGGCAACAACCCAGACCGCCAGCUAAGGUCCCAAAUGCCAGUUAAGUGGGAAACGAUGUGGGAAGGCUUAGACAGCUAGGAGGUUGGCUUAGAAGCAGCCACCCUUUAAAGAAAGCGUAAUAGCUCACUAGUCGAGUCGGCCUGCGCGGAAGAUGUAAC